rnacentral:lncRNA from 1 species
AUGUGCGCGGUGUCCCCGGGCCCUGUGCGAGCCCUGGGCCACACCGUGCUGCUCCCCUGCGUGUGCACAGUGCACGUGUCUCCGCAGACCCCCCUUGACCCAAAGUCCCUUCGCGCAGCUCCCAUGUGUGCCUGCACAGCGUCUGCACAGCCGCAUCGGAGGCAGCGUGCUCCUGCAGGGCUGCGUGGCAUCCGGCAGCGGGGCCGCGCUGUUGCAGCACCCCAUGUGCGGCGGCACCCAAGGGUGGGCAAGGGGGAACCCAAGAAAGGGCCACCUGGAGCCAAAAGCAGGGUCUGGGGCCAGUGUGCUGCAGCCUGGCCUGUGUUUGGGUGGGGGGGGGAGGGUUCAUCCUCCAGCUUCUCUUACCGGUUUGGGGGUGCAAACGAGGGGAUGCAGCGAGGCGGCUGCGCCCUUUGCAUUGGCAGCGCAGGCGUCACAGCGGCCCCUCGGCCCCCACCGGGAGCAUUUGUCCCGGGAGCACUUUGCAGCUCCUCGUGGACGUCCCCAGCACCUUCUCCCGGCCCGGCGUCACCGCGUGCCGGGGGGGAGGCGGGGGGGCCGGGCUGCAGCCCUCCCUCGCCGCCAGCCCCGCGGCACAGCCGUGCUGCAGCCGCCUUGCAGCUGUCGCCGCUCGGCCCGUUGGCCGGGCUGAGCCGUUCUCCCGUUCUCCCCCAGGAGCAGGCACCUGCUUUGGAUGUUUCGGUGUUUUUUUUCCUCCCCGGGAGCCGCGAAUCCCCUCGGAAAGGAGAGGCAACACGUGCCUUCCCGCAGCGACUGCUGGAGCCGGGGAGGGCAGCGGCGGGUUUUCCCCAGGGAAAACCCCACAGCUCUGCCCAGAGGGCUGGACGGCUGCCCCAGGGCCGCUGCCACGGGCCGGGCCAGGCCGGUCCCGCUGCUGCGUGCCGAGGCCCCGCUGCCGCUCACGGUGCAUCCCGGGGGAGCAGCCAGCUGCGGCUCCGGGACCCCAGGGGAGCGCGGUGCAGCACGGCACGGUGCAGCAUGGUGCAGCACGGUAUGGCACGGCACGGCACGGCCAGCUCGGCCUCCUGGCAUUCCCGGCUGCUGGGCUUCCAACUGGCCGAGGGAGCGUUUUUUUAUCGGCGUGUCGCAAGGCUAUCUGUGAUCAAGGGUCGUGUUUGCAAACACGGAGGGAAGAGGCCGGCUCCCCGCYGGCACGGGCCGGUGCGUUGGGAAACCCGCGGCGCUCCCGGGCGGCACGGCGAGUGGGCAGGGUGA